CACGUAGGGUGCGAGCGUUGUCCGGAAUUAUUGGGCGUAAAGAGCUCGUAGGUGGUUUGUCGCGUUGUCCGUGAAAACUCACAACUCAAUUGUGGGCGUGCGGGCGAUACGGGCAGACUGGAGUACUGCAGGGGAGACUGGAAUUCCUGGUGUAGCGGUGGAAUGCGCAGAUAUCAGGAGGAACACCGGUGGCGCAGGCGGGUCUCUGGGCAGUAACUGACGCUGAGGAGCGAAAGCGUGGGGAGCGAACAGG
rnacentral:rRNA from 1 species